rnacentral:rRNA from 1 species
GUUGAAAAGGAGCAGUAAAAGAGAAAUUAUAGCCUACGAAUUAACCUACUAGACUAAACUUAGGGGUGGAGGAUACUUCAUAGGGUCCCUUGCCUUAGAGUGAAAACUAGUAGGGUUUUCGUAGGUGAAAGACAAAAUGACUUUCUCCUGUAAUAAUAAAGCUGAAGCAGAUUGCCCAAGCCCCAAAUUACAGGAGAGAGUGAGGGAUUCUUAAUGAUUUUGUCAAAAUGGCUUUUACUGACCCGUCUUGUAACACGGACCAAGGAGUCUACUCAUUAUGCGAGUGUUAGGGUGGAAAAACCCAAAACGCGUACCGAAAGGGAUGCAAGAUGUGAAGCGUAAGCCGCAACAUCAACCAACCCUUGAUUCUCCGAUGAAGGGCGUUGAGUAAGAGCAUAAUUGGUAGGGACCCCGAAAGAAUGGUGAACUACGGUUGAGUAGGGUGAAGCCAGGGGGAAACUCUGGUGGAGGCUCGAAGAGUUACUGACGUGCAAAUCGUUCUUC